rfam:Crassostrea gigas strain 05x7-T-G4-1.051#20 contig10598, whole genome shotgun sequence.
UGUCAGAUAGCUCAGUUGGUAGAGCACCUGACUAGAGAUUCAGGGGGCCAAGGUUCAUAUCCUUGUUUGGUCC